GACGAACGCUGGCGGCGUGCCUAAUACAUGCAAGUCGAACGCAGUGGGGACGGGUGAUUAACACGUGGGUAACCUCCCAUCAGAGGGGAUAACCCUUGGAAACUGGUGCGAAACCGAUAUUGAUGUAUGGACUAGCGGUGCAUUAGUUUGUUGGUGAGGUAACGGCUCACCAAGGCCACGAUGCUUAUCCGGCCUGAGCGGGUGAUCGACCACACUGGGACUGGGACACGGCCCAGACUCCUACGGGAGGCAGCAGUGGGGAAUCUUCGGCAAUGGACGAAAGUCUGACCGAGCAACGCCGCGUGAGUGAAGAAGGUUUUCGGAUCGUAAAACUCUGUUGUUAGAGAAGCGGUAUCUAACCAGAAAGCCACGGCUAACUACGUGCCAGCAGCCGCGGUAAUAC
rnacentral:rRNA from 1 species